rnacentral:rRNA from 1 species
UGGGGAAUAUUGCACAAUGGGCGCAAGCCUGAUGCAGCCAUGCCGCGUGUGUGAAGAAGGCCUUCGGGUUGUAAAGCACUUUCAGCGAGGAGGAAGGUGGUGAACUUAAUACGUUCAUCAAUUGACGUUACUCGCAGAAGAAGCACCGGCUAACUCCGUGCCAGCAGCCGCGGUAAUACGGAGGGUGCAAGCGUUAAUCGGAAUUACUGGGCGUAAAGCGCACGCAGGCGGUUUGUUAAGUCAGAUGUGAAAUCCCCGGGCUCAACCUGGGAACUGCAUUUGAAACUGGCAAGCUAGAGUCUCGUAGAGGGGGGUAGAAUUCCAGGUGUAGCGGUGAAAUGCGUAGAGAUCUGGAGGAAUACCGGUGGCGAAGGCGGCCCCCUGGACGAAGACUGACGCUCAGGUGCGAAAAGGCGUGGGGGAGCAAACAGGAUUAGAUACCCUGGUAGUCCACGCUGUAAAACGAUGUCGAUUUUGGAGGUUGUGCCCCUUGAGGCGUGGCUUCCGGAGCUAACGCGUUAAAUCGACCGCCUGGGGAGUACGGCCNCAAGGUUAAAACUUAAAUGAAUU